rnacentral:rRNA from 1 species
UACGAAAGGUGCAAGCGUUGUUCGGAAUAACUGGGCGUAAAGCGCUCGUAGGCGGGAGUUCAGGUCGAUUGUGAAAUCCCAGGGCUCAACCUUGGAACUGCAGCGAAACGGACUUCUUGAAUACUCGAGAGGGUGGGGAAUUCUAGUGGAGAAGUGAAAUUCGUAGAGAUUAAGAAG